rnacentral:lncRNA from 1 species
UUUUCUAACACCACAAAUCAUAACAGUAUGGUAAUCUCAAUUAUUGAGACUAACUUCAUAAUUCCUUUUCCGUAUCACUUACUACUCUGUAAUGAAACCCUCACUAUCUCAAAAAUAAUAGGGGAGUGAGAUUCACAAUCUUAGCAUGCAGAUAUCAUGACAUACCAAGAAGGGGGAGUGAGAUUCACAAUUCUACUCACCCAUCUUUCUUUUUCAUCUCUCUUUCUCUUUCUUCUUUCUCUUCUCUUUCUCUCUCUACUCUUGCUUUCUCUCAAAUUCCAGAAUGUUUUUCCCUUCUUCCCACACCCCUAUUUAUAGAGGAGGGACGUCCAUGCAAGUGGAUAGGCAAGGGAGAGGCAAGAAACGUUUUGACUCUUGGCCUAUUUAAGGUUUACCUAAGGCUCCGAAGGUCCAAACCGCAAGAAAAGUUAGGUCCAUGCCUAUGCCCUUACCUCAAAACUCCAUAACUUGCUCAAUUCUUAAUCUUCUUGGGCAAACUUGUGCUUCACGUGUUUCUCAAACAGACAGCCAUCACAUGGUUUUGGUUUGGGCUUCAUCUAGGUCCCCUUGACCCACUUAUGGCUCAAACAAGCUUAAAAAGGUCAAAACUGUCCUUCAUGUGCAUGCCUCUCAGGUCAAGCCUCAUUUUUCCCAAAAUUUUCUUCUACCUAUAUUUUUCUUUUUCCACAAAAUUUCUUGACUAGUCAUCAGCCAAAUUUGAGACUUAAAUUUCAAAUAUUUUAGUCUCGGGACACUAAAUCAAGCUAAAAGGGUUAAAUUAGAGUUUUCGCGGAAACUAUCGCACUAAGGCUUCGGUUCCUUUCAUUUUUCUCUCAAAUUUUCUUCUAUGCAAGUCUUUCUUUUCUUACAGCUUUCUUUCCCCAUAUGUUAUCUAAUGUCUCUUCAAAUAUUUUAGUCUCAAGACACUAAAUCAAGCUAAAAGGGUUAAAUUUGAGUUUUCUCGGAAACUAUCGCGCUAAGGAUUCGGUUCCUUCCAUUUUUCUCUCAAAUUUUCUUCUAUGCAAGUCUUUCUUUUCUUACAGCUUUCUUUCCCCAUAUGUUAUCAAAUGUCUCUUCAAAUCUCAUCUCCAAAUCCCAUUAAUCUUGGGCUCCAGAAGUGUUUCAACCACUAAAGGCCACUUUAUGUUACUUAGGGGAUUUUUCUCCCUCUCCCCGAGGAUUUCUCUCUUGAUUCUUAAUCUAAUUACUCCCUCAUGUUCCCUAUGCAUCUUCAUACCUUCUAGGAUGUUGUUAUAGUCUCGAAAAAUGUUCCUACAUCUAGAAAACACAGUUUUCUCUUUGAGAGAAAAUUCUCUUUUUUGUGGGGUUCCUUUUACCCUAAUUUCACCGUUUUCGCUCUGUUUUACUCAAAACUUGAUUCUUAACUUUACUAUAUCCCCUUUAAACAUAUACAAACUUAACCAUAAUAAACAAGAGAAAUCCAACCGGUGAAUUCUAGGUUAUUACAUCCUCCUCUCUCCCCCCUCCCCUCCCAGAAAAGGAAAAGGAAUUUGGUCUUCCAAAUUCGACAUACAAAGAAUCUAUUAUUUUGACUUACCAUGAGGGACCUCUUUUCUUCAUAUCGUAUGGUUAUGGCAAAAAAAACAUCACAUCCUUUAGUUUACCUCAAGCAAUUCAUUCAUCUUCACGGAUUAAAAUCAUGACUUUUUGUAUGUCUUUAUGACUUCAAGUCACUUCAAGUCUAAGGGUCGUAAG